rnacentral:rRNA from 1 species
GUCUUUUUGAUUAUAAUUUAAGGUCUAAUCUGCUCAAUGAAAAUUUAAAUAGCCGCAGUAUCUUGACUGUGCAAAGGUAGCAUAAUAAUUAGUUUCUUAAUUAGAGACUUGUAUGAAUGAUUGGACAAGAAAAUUUCUGUCUCUUAUUAAUUUUUUUUUGAACUUAAUUUUUAAGUUAAAAUGCUUAAAUUUUUAUAAAAGACGAGAAGACCCCAUAGAGUUUUAUUUUCAUUGAUUUUUAGUAUAAUUUAUUAAAUUGAUAAAUUGGUUGGGGUGACUUAAAGAUUGAAUAAACUCUUUAAAUUUAAAUCAUUGAUUUAUGAAUUAUUAGUCUAAUUUUUUAAGUUUAAAUUAAAUUACCUUGGGGAUAACAGCGUAAUUUCUUUUAAGAGUUCUUAUCAAAUAAGAAGAUUGCGACCUCGAUGUUGGAUUAAAAUUUAUUUUAGGUGUAGAAGCUUGAAAAUUAAGUCUGCUCGACUUUUA